rnacentral:rRNA from 1 species
UACGUAGGGGGCAAGCGUUGUCCGGAUUUAUUGGGCUUAAAGGGUGCGUAGGCGGUCUAUUAAGUCCGGUGUGAAAUCCGGCAGCUCAACUGUCGAGGUGCAAUUGAUACUGAUGGACUUGAGUACUGAUGAGGUAAGCGGAAUGGACGGUGUAGCGGUGAAAUGCUUAGAUAUCGACCAGAACACCGAUAGCGAAGGCAGCUUACUAAGGAGUAACUGACGCUGAGGCACGAAAGUGUGGGGAUCAAACAGG